UACGUAGGGCGCAAGCGUUGUCCGGAAUUAUUGGGCGUAAAGAGCUCGUAGGCGGUUUGUCGCGUCUGCUGUGAAAACCUAAGGCUCAACCUUGGGCUUGCAGUGGGUACGGGCAGACUAGAGUGCGGUAGGGGUGACUGGAAUUCCUGGUGUAGCGGUGGAAUGCGCAGAUAUCAGGAGGAACACCAAUGGCGAAGGCAGCUCGCUGGGACGGUACUGACGCUGAGGCGCGAAAGCGUGGGGAGCAAACAGG
rnacentral:rRNA from 1 species